GCGGAGACGUAUGUUUCCGUUCACUCCUCACACCACACUCCGCCUGGACUAUUGUUCGGGCGGUU
rnacentral:sRNA from 16 species